GUGAAUCAUCGAAUCUUUGAACGCAAAUCGCACUCUCUUCGGAGAGUAUGACUGUUUGAGGGUCAGUAUUAAUAAAAAUCGGUGUGUUGCUACUUUGUGACGCUCCGGAGUUUGGGUCAUAUUAAUAGCCUUUAGGUUUUAAGUGGCUUAAAAUUGAUUUUUUUUGCGCAUUGUAGAUGUACAUAAAUUCUUUUUUAUAUUCGUUUGUAUUAAUGCUCAUAGUACUAUUAGAUGUGACCAUAUCGUGUGGUUUCGUA
rnacentral:misc_RNA from 1 species